CGGUCUCUGGACGGUGCGUUAGGCACAUCUUGUCCCGGGGACCUUAAUCAUCGAAUAGGGAGCUGUCCCUGCUGAGAUCGAGGUCUCGGACACAUGGCGCCCACCUGCUUGAAGCAGGUCUCGGUGGACUCGUCUUGCCGACGGCUGUAUCGGGGCCGCC
rnacentral:other from 1 species